rnacentral:RNase_P_RNA from 14 species
GUGAUAGGAAAGUCCGGACACCGUAGAGUAGCAUAGCGGCUAACGGCCGUCGUCACGUUUUGACGUGAUAGGACAAGUGCAACAGAAAGAA